ensembl:piRNA 21ur-15694 ncRNA
AACUUUAAUAAAAAGUAAAGU